AGUGAACGCUGCGGCGUGCCUAAUACAUGCAAGUCGAACGGACAAGUAAGAGCUUGCUCUUAUGAGUUAGUGGCGCACGGGUGAGUAAUGUAUAGCUAAUCUGCCCUACACUAGAGGACAACAGUUGGAAACGACUGCUAAUACUCUAUACUCCUCUCUAGCAUAAGUUAGAUAGGGAAAGUUUUUCGGUGUAGGAUGAGGCUAUAUUGUAUCAGCUAGUUGGUGAGGUAAUGGCUCACCAAGGCUAUGACGCAUAACUGGUCUGAGAGGAUGAUCAGUCACACUGGAACUGAGACACGGUCCAGACUCCUACGGGAGGCAGCAGUAGGGAAUAUUGCUCAAUGGGGGAAACCCUGAAGCAGCAACGCCGCGUGGAGGAUGACACUUUUCGGAGCGUAAACUCCUUUUGUUAGGGAAGAACAAUGACGGUACCUAACGAAUAAGCACCGGC
rnacentral:rRNA from 1 species